rnacentral:rRNA from 1 species
UCGAGAAUUUUUCACAAUGGGCGCAAGCCUGAUGGAGCGACGCCGCGUGGGGGAUGAAUGGCUUCGGCCCGUAAACCCCUGUCAUCUGGGAACAAUGCUCAUCCGAUAACACCGGAUGAGUUGAUAGUACUGGAAGAGGAAGGGACGGCUAACUCUGUGCCAGCAGCCGCGGUAAUACGGAGGUCCCAAGCGUUGUUCGGAUUCACUGGGCGUAAAGGGUGCGUAGGUGGUGAGGUAAGUCGGAUGUGAAAUCUCCGAGCUCAACUCGGAAAUGGCAUUGGAAACUACCUUGCUCGAGGAUUGGAGGGGAGACUGGAAUGCUUGGUGUAGCAGUGAAAUGCGUAGAUAUCAAGCGGAACACCAGUGGCGAAGGCGAGUCUCUGGACAAUUCCUGACACUGAGGCACGAAAGCCAGGGGAGCAAACGGGAUUAGAUACCCCGGUAGUCCUGGCCGUAAACGGUGCACGUUUGCUGUAAAGGAAUCGA